UACGAAGGGAGCUAGCGUUGUUCGGAAUCACUGGGCGUAAAGCGCACGUAGGCGGCUGUGUCAGUCAGGGGUGAAAUCCCGGGGCUCAACUUCGGAACUGCCUUUGAUACAGCACGUCUUGAGUCCGAUAGAGGUGGGUGGAAUUCCUAGUGUAGAGGUGAAAUUCGUAGAUAUUAGGAAGAACACCGGUGGCGAAGGCGGCCCACUGGAUCGGUACUGACGCUGAGGUGCGAAAGCGUGGGGAGCAAACAGG
rnacentral:rRNA from 1 species